UUUAAAGCGGCCGACCUGGCGCGUGCAUGCGCUGAGGCAGAAGGCUAGCGUCUCGGGCAAGAUGGCUGCUAAAAGUUUUGCUUCCCGUCUCCGAGGGUCCCGGCGCUUUUUGAGUGGCUUCGUGGCCGGAGCUGUCGCGGGCGCUGCGAGCACUGGGCUCGUGGUCGUGCAGUUCCUCCGGAGUCGGGAUGCUGAGCCAGCGGCGGUGGUGAGGGAUCCGGAUGGUUCUUCGGAAAAGGCUGUCUUGGAACAAUUUGGAUUCCCUUUAGCUGGAACAGAGACAAGGUGUUACACUAACCAUGCCUUGUCUUAUGAUCAAUCAAAGCGGGUGCCUAGAUGGGUUCUUGAACAUAUAUCCAAGAGCAAGAUAAUGGGUGCCGCAGACAGAAAACAUUGUAAAUUCAAGCCAGAUCCCAACAUCCCUCCAGCCUUCAGCGCCUUCAACGAGGACUAUAUUGGCAGUGGGUGGUCACGAGGCCACAUGGCUCCAGCAGGAAAUAACAAAUUCUCAACUAAAGCCAUGGCUGAAACCUUUUACCUCUCUAAUAUCGUGCCUCAGAAUUUUGAUAAUAAUGCUGGAUAUUGGAACAGAAUAGAAAUGUACUGUCGAGAACUGACAGAGAGGUUUGAGGAUGUUUGGAUAGUAUCUGGACCGCUGACCUUACCUCAGACUGGAAGUGAUGGGAAGAAAACAGUUAGUUACCAGGUGAUCGGCGAGGACAACGUGGCCGUGCCCUCCCACCUGUACAAGGUGAUCCUGGCACGCAGAAGCGCGGGCUCUGCCGAGCCCCUGGCCCUCGGGGCCUUCGUGGUGCCCAACAAGGCCAUUGGCUUCCAGCCCCAGUUGAGUGAGUUCCAGGUGAGCCUGCAGGACCUGGAGAAGCUGUCGGGGCUGGUGUUUUUCCCGCAUCUGGAUAGAACUAGUGACAUCAGGAACAUCUGCUCGGUGGACACCUGUAAGCUCCUGGACUUCCGGGAGUUCACCCUGUACCUGAGCACAAGAAAGGUAGAGGGGGCCCGAUCGGUAGUCAGACUGGAAAAGGUCAUGGAAAAUCUUCGGAACGCGGGCAUCGAGCCCGACGAGUACUUCAUGACUCGCUACGAGAAGAAACUGGAGGAACUCCGAGCUCGGGAGCAGUCGGGCAUCCUGGAGGAGAAGCCCUCCUAGUUCUCCUCUCAGAAGCGUGACGUGGUCCGCAAGGAAGCGGGUGUGGCCUCUUCAGGAUACUGUGUUUUAGCAACUCUGUUCUUAAAAUGGUGGAAUCCUAAAUUUCAGACCAAAUUUCUCCCCAAAAGGUGAAAGAUGUCAAAUUUUUCAGUUGGUGCAGUAUUUGACACGGGAAGUGACUAUAUAAGGAAGCUGUUAGCACCUGCAGACCAUGGGCUGGUCCUGUGUCAGGCUAAAGGAGGGCUGUGCCUGCUGGGUGUGUCCCUUCUGAGGUAUUGGAUGUGAAGGUGUUAUAUUUUCUGUCUCCAAGUCGCACAGGGUCUUUGUAUCUGCUCAGCCUUCUUGGAGCCCAGCAUUAUUUAUAUGUCUUCGUUAACUAAGACGUGAGUUGGUCUAACACCUCUUGAGCUGCUCUAACGCCUCUCUGCAUUAUCCUGACCGCAUGCCUUGUCUAUUUCUUUCUUGUUGCUCCUCUCAUGGACCCGCGGUUUCCCCUCUUCCGUCACGUAGAAGCCCCCAGCGCCUGCAUUUUCUGCUCACUUCGUGGGUCGUGUAUACAAAGCUCAGUGUUUUCCAUGUAUUAUCCUACUUGAGGGAAAUGGCACUGUCCUCGUUUUACCCAUGAGGAAACUGAGGCUUGGAGAGCUUAAGUGUUUUGCCCAAAGUUCCCAAAGAAGUAAUCCACGAGGAACGAGGCACCCAACAUGGGGUAUGUUGAAGUUGUCUCUGACACAGAGGCUUUCGGCUCAGAAAGACAUUCUUCCGCGGGUGUCUGUGAGCCUGGGGCCUGCUUGGUGAGAGGGUCUGGUUUCUUGCCUGCCAUCCAGCCAAAGAGAUUUGAAAGUCUUCCAACUUGAACCCUCCUCAGUGCUUUGGGAAGAAACAGUCACAGUGAUUGAAUGAGAGAGGUCAGUGCUUUCUGGGGUUUAGCAGAGCCCUACUUGCCUUCAGAAAUGCGGUUCUUCUGUUGACUGGCUGGUGCCAGAUCCAUGUGUGUGUUGCUUUCCAGGUGGGCCUUUUGUCCCAGAGGUUGAGGAACCUAAGAAGGGUUUGUUCCCUCAGAGUCACCAGCUUCUGACCUGCUCACCUUUGUGCUUGCUUCUCUACGUGGAUGGCAGAGGGCAGGUGGUUGGGCCAAAGACAGCCGGCCCUAGGGGAAGCAGUGGCUGUGUUUCUGGGCCGAGUCUCUAGUUUGGGAUUUACGUGGGACCCUUCCGUGGGCUGGCAUAAGCGUAGGCAGUAAAAUACCUUGAAAGAGCACACAGGCGCUUGUCUGACUGUCCCAUCACUGCUGUCUUUCCAAGCAGUGUUACCAGAACCGUUUUCGUGGUGUUGAUGUGUUUAUCUCUAGCAGAAAUGCCAAGACGUUAAGAUAAAGGCGUGAGGGAUUUCCCUGGUGGUUGAGCGGUUAAGGAUCUGGCUGCCAGUGCAGGGGACACGAGCUCAACCCCUGGUCUUGGAAGACGCCGCAUGCCUUGGAGCAGCUAGGCCCGUGCACACCACAGUGCGAGCCUGAGUGCCCGGAGCCCGUGCUCUGCAAGGAGAGGGCCUGCCGCGAGCAGCCUGCACACGGCAACGAAGAGCAGCCCCCUCCCCGCAGCAGAGACUCAGCACAGCCCAAGAUAAAGGAAAGAUGAAGUGACAUCUUCAUUUCGAGGCUUCAGGCUCUCUGGUCUGUGGAUUGAGACUGUGUCACCAGUAUCGUGUGGCAAGGGGGACCUCACCCAAGUGGCCGAGGUAGGAUGGGCGUGCGAGCCCCUUAAACACCUGCCAGCGCUUCCGGCCUCGGGCCUUGAUCUUCCAGCUGGAAACCUCCGUCCCUCCUUCAGGACUUAGACUGGAGCCCAGCAGGAGAGGCAGAGUCUGCUCUGGAGGGAGCGGCUCCCUAUGGGGCCGGGCGCAGCCUGCUGCAGGAGUGACCGUGAGUACCCACGGGCUCCCUGGCCUCAUCCUCCUGAGCCCAUGUCUGUCUGUCACUGGUGUCAGCAUGGUGCACCUCGAAUUUCCCACCAGCAGCCUGUCCCGACCUAGGGCCUGCCGUGUGUUGCCUGCUCACUCCCACGCCCACCUUGUCUGCCCUUCCCCUUCAUGGGCCCUCGGUCUCCUCCUCGAACCUCUGAUUGAUUCUGGUGGAGCUGGUGGGGGGCGGCCUCGUAUCCGCUGUGCAACUCCUGCUCUUGCCGCCUCCAGCCUCCAUCUGGCCCGCUGUGCUGGAUGUUGUCAUGGAGACGACCUAUCGCGGGAUGCCAUAGGCUCCCCACCUCUGGAGACCGACCCUUAGGUCAGAGGGCUGGCCAGACGCCUUGCACUCUGUAUAAUUUGGGGCAGGGGAGAUUGCAUGCUUGCUUGGUGGUUGGAUGGGCUUCUGUUUCAUGUUCCUAAACUUUACUGGUCUGCCCUGAAACCACAUUACCUUUAGGGAUCGCUGUGACGUAAUGCAUUUGAGUUAAUUUCAAGCCUUCAGAGAGGUUGCAAGUACAGUGACUGUCCUCUCCCUCGAUACUGUGUCUUAUUUGCAUUCUUUUCUUGAACCAUUUUAAAUUGUAUUAAAAAAAUAAGUUGUAGACACAGGACUUUGUCUUUUUUAAUUGAAGCAUAGUUGAUUUACAGUGUUGCAUUAAUUUGUAUUAUACAGCUGAGUAAUUCCAUUACAUAUUUUUUUUUCUAUUAUAGUUCAUCAUAGAUACUUAAUACAGUUCUCUGUGCUGUGCGGUAGGAUUUGUUUAUCCAUUCUGUGUAUAAUAGCUUACAUCUACUAACCCCAGCCUCCUCCCCGCUGGCAGCCACAGGUCUGUUUCCCACGGCCGUGAGUCAUUUCUGUCUCAUAGGCAGGCUUUUUUGUGUUGUACUUCAGAUUCCACAAACAAAUGAUACCGUGUCGUGUUUGUUUUCUCAUUCGGACGUAUUUUGCCUAGGAUGAUCAUCUCUGGUUGCGUCCACGGUGCUGCUAGUGUUACCUUGUUCUCUUUUUAUGCCUGAGAAGGCCUCUCUCGGUAUAAGCACCACAUCUUCUUUGCCCCUUGCUCUGCUCAUGGACAUGUAGGUUGCUUCUGUGUCUUGCCUGUUGUGAAUAGUGCUGAAUGGAACACUGGGGUGCGUGUAUCGUUUCAAAGUUUGGUUUUCUCUGGGUAUGGUGUGCUGGUUUUGCCAGCGAGUGUUUGACGCACAUGGCAAGCGCGUCUUCAUUUUGAUUCCGUCUGACAGCCUCCUAGGGAAAUUUCUGGCAGACUGGUCAAUCUGUGAACCUGCAAAUAAGGGAAAGAGAACCAACACCAUGUGGUCACAGUAUUCUUUAGGUGGAGAAAAUUGGUUGAAACUGUUCUGAAAUUCCAAAACUGAUCCUUUUCUGCAUGUACAAUCAGAGAAAACUGGCUUGAUAAAAACACUUUUUUCCAGAACACUGACCCUGAGAGAACAAGAAUAUUCUUAGCAGAAAACUCGAAGUAAAGUCUUGCCAUGCCUUCGAAGUACAAACACAGCCCACCUUGCCUGGGACUUCAGCCUUGAGCUUUAAUUGGUAGAACUUCAAGUCAAAGGGAGGAAAGGAGGAGGGAAGAAAAAGGAUCCUUUUAAAAUCAAACGUGCAAAUUUGACUAUUGUGACUGUUAUUCAUAAACUGAUAAGUUUAGGUGCAGUAACUGAGUCAAGAAAUACAAAAAGAUUUUUAAAAAAUGAGAUCUGUUUGGAUGUAUUUAUGUCAGAGUAUGUAUGUGUCUGAAUAAUGUUGCUGAAGUUAAUUUGUACAUGAGCUCUAUUUAAUUGGCUAAAAGAAAAGUGUUUACAAAUGAAAUCUGCAAUUACCUACUUUUGCAAGAGGGAAACUAAGGAUAGUUGUGUUCAUGAGACUCAUGUCUUAUACCACUUUGAGAAAAGAAACUGUAGUUUGAAAAAAUGCCUGUUUUUAGAGGUUACAGAAUAUGUUCUUAAGUUUGCUGAUACCAAUAUGACGGUUGACAGCUGCUUGCUUCUUUGUUCUCACUAGAGAGUAAGGGGGUUUUUUAGGGGUUGAAAAUUAUGAUAUUAAAGCUACUAAAAUGGGAAGGGAACCAUUUUGGUGUUUAAAGCAUGUACGAGAUACAUCACAUUACCAGCUAAAGAAGGUAUAAGGCUGGAGAUAUUUUUGUUGAGGGAAAAAUAUGAUGAUGAUAAUUUUGUCCUAUAUGUUGGUGGUUGUUUCUGGAUGGGAAAAGUAAGGGAAGAAUUAAUACAAAUCCAGAAAGUGAUAAAAAGGGUUGUGAAAAAAAGUACUUCAAGAAAAGAGCUUUUUCUGUGUUGUUAAGACUGCUCUCCAUUAUAGCACGGAAAUGGUUUACUCCUAAGUCAGGGAAUUUAAAAUUAAUAAACAGUAGCUGUAAAUUAAAAAAUCAGGGCUGUGGGAAAUCCAAGAGGGCCACUCGGCUUCUCCUGGCUCCCCGACAAACCUCAUCUUCACCCGAGGGGUUAUAGCUUUUCAUCCUGCAGGGCCGAUCCUGCCAGAGUGGGGUCUCGCACUUGGAGUAUAGUUUCCGCAAGUUCCAGUGACCAACACACUCACUUCACAGGACAGAUCAUACAGUCCUUAAAAACGUCAGAAACUUUUUGAAAUGAUUAGUCAGUAGCGUUCUCAGUCAUCAGGCAAGGUCACAAAACGAAUGGGAAAAUUGGACUCAAACAGAACCAAGAUUAAUUAUAUGAGAUUAAGUCAGCUGCUCAAUAUGGUGGUGAUUUUUACGACUUUUCUGACCUAAUUCUGGCUAGUAAUCUUUGUUUUUCAGAUAUGGAAAAGCUCCUUUUUUUCUUGUGAUUUACAACAAUAUGGUAAUUUACACCUACAGGUAAAAUUAAAAUAUUUUUGUUUUGUCUCUA